ACUUGAGACAGCCGGUAGAGGAGUCACAAGAGUAGGUACCUUUCCAUGAGCUCACCUCUGUUCCACUCCCAUCUCAUAAAGGGUGUGACAGAUACUUCACAGAAGGCAAGGAGAAAACAGGUCAGAAGUAUGUUAUUGGGGGCUUAGCACUGAUUUUGGUUCUGACAAGCUGGCCACUCAGAGACAGCAGUAGCUAUGUCUGUCUCAGUAUGUGGUAGACCAUGCUGUUGGGCCCAUAUAUAUAUAGCCUCCAUGCCUGCCACUGGGGCUACUUCAUUCACGUACCCACUGUGUCAGUUCUGGGAUGACUAAAAUCAACUGGGUCAUCAUGAGUGAAGUCUUGAGCCACUGAGCCACUACCACCUUGUGCCAAAUACUAUCUGUGCCCUGCCUGCCAACCAGGAUGACAACCCUUCACCUGCCAGGUGCCUUUGAGAGCCUGUGUUCCAGGUCAGGACUCAGAGAUGGAG
rnacentral:lncRNA from 1 species